rnacentral:rRNA from 1 species
CCUACGGGUUGCAGCAGUGGGGAAUAUUGGACAAUGGGCGAAAGCCUGAUCCAGCAGUGCCGCGUGAGUGAUGAAGGCCUUAGGGUUGUAAAGCUCUUUUACCCGGGAUGAUAAUGACAGUACCGGGAGAAUAAGCUCCGGCUAACUCCGUGCCAGCAGCCGCGGUAAUACGGAGGGAGCUAGCGUUGUUCGGAAUUACUGGGCGUAAAGCGCGCGUAGGCGGCUAUUCAAGUCAGAGGUGAAAGCCCGGGGCUCAACCCCGGAACUGCCUUUGAAACUAGAUAGCUAGAAUCUUGGAGAGGUCAGUGGAAUUCCGAGUGUAGAGGUGAAAUUCGUAGAUAUUCAGAAGAACACCAGUGGCGAAGGCGACUGACUGGACAAGUAUUGACGCUGAGGUGCGAAAGCGUGGGGAGCAAACAGGAUUAGAUACCCUUGUAGUC